UUUAGGCUUACAAGAGAAAAGCAGAAAGGAAGAGUAUUCUGAAUGGAGUGAAAUGAGACAAGUUCCAGAAGCAACACUACGUGGUAUGGGGAAAAAGUGCCCCAAAUUCCCAAAUGCAAUGUUCAAAUAAAUGUGAUCACUGGGAAGACAGUCCUGGUAUCAACAGGAAAAAAAGAUCAAAAAUAGUGAUAAAUGCACUACUCCAAAUUAUCCCUGUACAAUUAAUUCAUCCCCUUAAUCACAAUCCCCAAACUGAACCUGCUGGAAGCCAGAUCGUAUUUGAGCAAUACGGCCAGUGGCUAGAAUUCACCCUCGCCUUCCUUACAACUUUCUACCAAAAUCAGGGGCCUCCUCCGACUAGAGGUGAGUACGCACGGCUCCACGUUCACAGUGCACGACGCACAGCUUACGCUCGGAAUCUCUCCCCGCGUCAUCAGUGGCCCAUGAAUUGCUUCCCUAUCCUAUGGGCAUCUUCCAGCUGUCCGUUCCUCCCUACCGCGUACUUCCUCCAUUCAUCCUCACAGACGCACAGUAACUUAAGUGUCACUUCAAACAUUUUUUCCAACUUUCGUCUGAAGAAAAAAGGGGAGACGAACCAAAGAGGGACAACUAAUAUCACCCACAAACUUCACGUACUAUCUGGGUAAGAAUUCAACCUUCCUAAAUCUGAGUAGUGUGACCGGCUCCCUACGUUCACCGUGAUGAGAGGCGUCUGUCUGAGCCCUGGCCGCACACGGGACACACAAAAACACCGUAACUUCCCCUCCCAGAAAAGACUCGUGUCGGGCCCAUCGAGCGGUGGGCACAGAAACUGGCCCGGUCAGUGCUCCACCUUCUCCUCAACGCCUCUUUUUACUCUUCUCCUACAGAAUUCACACGUCACCCACCAAAAUGCACACACACCACAAAUGCCACCUUCUGCUGAAACAAACAAAAUCAAUAUAAACACGAUACCUGGAAUCUUAACUUCUCUCACACACGUCACCGCGUACAAUUUUUUUUUUAAUUUCCAAGACAUUUUCCCUAAGCUCUGAAAAGAACGGGUUCUUUCCUUUUGAAGCAAGAGAAAACGUGUCUAAAAAAAAAAUCCAUUUUAAGGUGAUAAUGUCGCGACCGUAAUCCACAACUGCUUCCUGCGUGUGUCAAAACGUAGACACUAUUUCAUUUCCAGACCUCAGAAACAGAUCACAAGAAAUAUAAUUUGCUCUGGCAAACAGGCUCUCAAUCAAAACAAGUUCCACCCACCUUCAAAGCAACCAAUAGCUGCCCACCUACCACCCUUCCUAAAACAUCCAAACAGAGCUGCUCUUGGGCCCAGGCAUUCCCUCCCCGCCACACGGCAACGGAACGGCCGGCGGGCGGGCUUGCCCCGCAGGUGCCCGACGGCAAGCAGGCUCGGCGCCGGGCAUCCGUGCGGGACUCGGGUGGAAACUACACCCCGAGAGGAAGAGGGGAGGGGCGGGGAAGGGGAGAAGCCCGGGGACGGCAGGACCCACGAGGUUCUCCAUCUGCCGAGGGCGGCCCCGCGCAGACCCCGUUCUCAGCGCUGACUUCGGGCCUCGCGACACCACCUACGUGGCCAGCCGGGGCCGAACGGGAGGCUCUCGGGAACAUGCACCGUGAAUGAUGAAAUGAUUCAGAAACAUCUUCAGAAGUCAGAACGAGCAGCCAAACCCACCACUGUUCCGGUGAGGCCAGAGGGAGAGAGCCUACCUGCAGGGGCUGAAUGGAUCAUCCAUGACUAACAGAGGCUCUGCAGGGUCUUCAAGAGGAAACAAGAUCAAAAGGUCCACGGAGAGGAAUGACCAUAUACACGGCGAGUGACCAGAAACCGCAGCGCACUUCUAAACGUGCCAGUAGCUUCCGAAGGGAAACCACCCCACGAAUCUCGUCUGGAAAACUUUGUAAACGUUUGGGGAAAGGCCGCACAAACGAUCCUGGCAGAGCUGUGGAGUCCUGGGUAUCGUCACAGCUACAAACACAGUGUAGACGGAGAGCAAGCGGGGUAGCCGAAGCAUGCUGCGUUUUGUGCAAAGAGCCUAAUCUCCCUUCAACGAGCCGCUCUAAAAUUGCCUCAAUAACAAAUAAAAACAUUUCCUGAAGAGAUACGAACCCAGUCGGGCAUGUCUCGCUUGAAGAAUGGACUUGUAACACUAAGAAGGGUAGGAAAGUUCAAACCAAGAGGGCAAAGGACACCUGGCCACAAACACUCGAGCGUCUAAAAAUCUCACUGGAGGUCUCCCGAUUCAAAAUUCUAGGCAAUGGUUUACAGCAUUGCCCAUGAAGCUAAAUUCAUUUGCAAUUUAAUCAGAAAAGAUUUCUCAAGCCACGUCAACAAGGCCACACCAUCCGCGUCAUACUGAGCAACGUAUCCGUAUCGUCCACAGUACCGGCCAAGACAUUUUCUGUUAAAAUCUUUAAAAACACGUUUUGUGCCCUCUCCCCACAACCUCCACCUCCAGCACAAAGGCAAACUGGGCUGUCAGCCACGUAAGAUAUUCUGGCUCUGGAGGUAAAUGCAAGCUUAGUGUCCAUUUGCAAACUAAGAGAUGAUUCUAUGUAAGAUUACUCAGUUAUGAU